rnacentral:rRNA from 1 species
GAUGAACGCUGGCGGCGUGCCUAAUACAUGCAAGUCGAGCGAACGGACGAGAAGCUUGCUUUUCUGAUUUUAGCGGCGGACGGGUGAGUAACACGUGGAUAACCUACCUAUAAGACUGGGAUAACUUCGGGAAACCGGAGCUAAUACCGGAUAAUAUUUUGAACCUCAUGGUUCAAAAGUGAAAGAAGGUCUUUCUGUCACUUAUAGAUGGAUCCGCGCUGCAUUAGCUAGUUGGUAAGGUAACGGCUCACCAAGGCAACGAUGCAUAGCCGACCUGAGAGGGUGAUCCGACACACUGGAUCAGAGACAGGGUACCGACUCUGCCGGGAGGCAGCAGUACGGAAUCUUACGCAAUGGGCGAAAGCCUGACGGAGCAACGCCGCGUGAGUGAUGAAGGUCUUCUGAUCGUAAAACUCUGUUAUUAGGGAAGAACAUAUGUGUAAGUACCUGUGAACAUCUUGACGGUACCUAAUCAGAAAGCUACGGCUAACUACGUG